rnacentral:rRNA from 1 species
AUUGAACGCUGGCGGCAGGCCUAACACAUGCAAGUCGAACGAGUGGCGGACGGGUGAGUAAUGUCUGGGAAACUGCCUGAUGGAGGGGGAUAACUACUGGAAACGGUAGCUAAUACCGCAUACCAUCAGAUGUGCCCAGAUGGGAUUAGCUAGUUGGUGGGGUAACGGCUCACCAAGGCGGCGAUCCCUAGCUGGUCUGAGAGGAUGACCAGGCAAACUGGAACUGAGACACGGGCCAAGCUCCUAAGGGGGGCAGCAGGGGGGAAUUUUGCACAAUGGGCGGAAGCCUGGUGCAUCCAUGCCGGGUGUAAUGAGAAGGCCUUCGGGUUGUAAAAUAACUUCAGGGGGGAGGCGUUACCCGCAGAAGAAGCACCGGCUAACUCCGUGCCAGCAGCCGCGGUAAUUC